rnacentral:rRNA from 1 species
GUGAUGUAUGAGUUAGUGGCGGACGGGUGAGUAACGCGUGGAGAACCUGCCGUAUACUGGGGGAUAACACUUAGAAAUAGGUGCUAAUACCGCAUAAGCGCACAGCUUCGCAUGAAGCAGUGUGAAAAACUCCGGUGGUAUACGAUGGAUCCGCGUCUGAUUAGCUGGUUGGCGGGGUAACAGCCCACCAAGGCGACGAUCAGUAGCCGGCCUGAGAGGGUGAACGGCCACAUUGGGACUGAGACACGGCCCAAACUCCUACGGGAGGCAGCAGUGGGGAAUAUUGCACAAUGGGGGAAACCCUGAUGCAGCGACGCCGCGUGAGUGAAGAAGUAUUUCGGUAUGUAAAGCUCUAUCAGCAGGGAAGAAAUACUGACCUUACGGUCAGCAGACGGUACCUGACUAAGAAGCCCCGGCUAACUACGUGCCAGCAGCCGCGGUAAUACGUAGGGGGCAAGCGUUAUCCGGAUUUACUGGGUGUAAAGGGAGCGUAGACGGCAGCGCAAGUCUGAAGUGAAAUCCCAUGGCUUAACCAUGGAACUGCUUUGGAAACUGUGCAGCUGGAGUGCAGGAGAGGUAAGCGGAAUUCCUAGUGUAGCGGUGAAAUGCGUAGAUAUUAGGAGGAACACCAGUGGCGAAGGCGGCUUGCUGGACUGUAACUGACGUUGAGGCUCGAAAGCGUGGGGAGCAAACAGGAUUAGAUACCCUGGUAGUCCACGCCGUAAACGAUG